rnacentral:rRNA from 1 species
AUUGAACGCUGGCGGCAUGCUUUACACAUGCAAGUCGAACGGCAGCGCGGGCUUCGGCCUGGCGGCGAGUGGCGAACGGGUGAGUAAUACAUCGGAACGUGCCCAGUAGUGGGGGAUAGCUCGGCGAAAGCCGGAUUAAUACCGCAUACGACCUGAGGGUGAAAGCGGGGGAUCUUCGGACCUCGCGCUAUUGGAGCGGCCGAUGGGCGAUUAGCUAGUUGGUGGGGUAAAGGCCUACCAAGGCGACGAUCUGUAGCUGGUCUGAGAGGACGACCAGCCACACUGGGACUGAGACACGGCCCAGACUCCUACGGGAGGCAGCAGUGGGGAAUUUUGGACAAUGGGCGAAAGCCUGAUCCAGCAAUGCCGCGUGUGUGAUGAAGGCCUUCGGGUUGUAAAGCACUUUUGGCGGGAACGAAAAGGACUGUGCCAAUACCACGGUUCGAUGACGGUACCCGCAGAAUAAGCACCGGCUAACUACGUG